rnacentral:rRNA from 1 species
UGGGGAAUAUUGGACAAUGGGCGAAAGCCUGAUCCAGCCAUGCCGCGUGGAUGAUGAAGGCCUUAGGGUUGUAAAGUCCUUUCGGCGGGGAAGAUAAUGACGGUACCCGCAGAAGAAGCCCCGGCUAACUUCGUGCCAGCAGCCGCGGUAAUACGAAGGGGGCUAGCGUUGCUCGGAAUCACUGGGCGUAAAGCGCACGUAGGCGGCUUCUUAAGUCAGGGGUGAAAUCCUGGAGCUCAACUCCAGAACUGCCUCUGAUACUGAGGAGCUUGAGUCCGGGAGAGGUGAGUGGAACUCCGAGUGUAGAGGUGAAAUUCGUAGAUAUUCGGAAGAACACCAGUGGCGAAGGCGGCUCACUGGCCCGGUACUGACGCUGAGGUGCGAAAGCGUGGGGAGCAAACAGGAUUAGAUACCCAAGUAGUCCCUGAGCGGGCUGGCAAGGCGCAU